UGCCAGCCGCCGCGGUAAUACGGAGGGUGCAAGCGUUAAUCGGAAUUACUGGGCGUAAAGCGUGCGUAGGUGGUUUAUUAAGUCAGAUGUGAAAGCCCCGGGCUUAACCUGGGAACUGCAUUUGAAACUGGUAAACUAGAGUAUGGUAGAGGAAAGUGGAAUUUCUGGUGUAGCGGUGAAAUGCGUAGAUAUCAGAAGGAACAUCAAUGGCGAAGGCAGCUUUCUGGACCAAUACUGGCACUCAAGUACGAAAGCGUGGGUAGCGAAAGGGAUUAGAUA
rnacentral:rRNA from 1 species